CUAAUUACAAUUUUUAAUAACAAUUGUACAUAUCGGCAAGAAGUACAGUAAAGUUUUGUAGGAGCUGUAAUUCAGCUAAGAGCUGAUACCUGACCUACAAGUCCCAAAAAUUGCUCUGAGCAGAACUGAGGCUGUGCACAGAGAGCUUUGAUUUCUGCUAAUCAGCCCAUACCCCCCUAUCAAUCUUGCAGUUAAUCAUCUCCAACAAUUCAGACCAAAAUGAGAG